CAUGACUAACAAAUAAAAAGCAAGAGGUAAAGGAAACUCCCCCGAUCCAUCGAGUCUCGGUCCGAAUCAAAGUAAGGAUACACCUUGCAUACCCGACCCAAUGAAUAUAUCCAUGCUGAAAGUUUCUUUUCUGCCUUCUUCGGGUACAUCCCACACUUGUCAUAAUGUCGAGAAUAACUCUGCCAAUAACCAAGAACAGACUUCCUAAUAUUAGAGGGACCUCAUUAUUUUCUUCCAUAUUCACAAAAAUGAAGUCCACAUGGAUCACAUAUUU
rnacentral:lncRNA from 1 species